UACGAGGGGGGCAAGCGUUGUCGGAUUUAUUGGGCGUAAAGGGUGCGUAGGCGGUUUGGCAAGUCUUGUGUGAAAUCUUCGGGCUCAACCCGAAGCCUGCACGAGAAACUACCGGGCUUGAGUGAUGGAGAGGUGAGUGGAAUUUCCGGUGUAGCGGUGAAAUGCGUAGAUAUCGGAAGGAACACCUGUGGCGAAAGCGGCUCACUGGACAUUAACUGACGCUGAUGCACGAAAGCUAGGGGAGCAAACAGGAUUAGAUACCCUGGUAGUCCUAGCCCUAAACGAUGAUCGCUUGAUGUGGCAGGUACCCAAUCCUGCCGUGUCGAAGCUAACGCGAUAAGCGAUCCGCCUGGGGAGUAACGGUCGCAGGACUGGAAACUCAAAGGAAUUGACGGGGGCCCGCGACAGCGGUGGAGCAUGUGGUUUAAUUUCGACGGCAACGGCGAAGAACCUUUAACUGGGGCUCGAAAUGUACCGGGAAUUCGGGCCGAAACGUCGGGCGUCUAGGCAAAUAGACCGGUAUAUAGGUGCUGCAUGGCUGUCGUCAGCUCGUGUCGUGAGAUGUUGGGUUAAGUCCCGCAACGAGCGCAACCCUUAUCUUCAGUUGCUACCAUUUAGUUGAGCACUCUGACGAAACCGCCUCGGAUAACGGGGAGGAAGGUGGGGAUGACGUCAAGUCCUCAUGGCCUUUAUGUCCAGGGCUACACACGUGCUACAAUGGCCGGUACAAACCGCUGCAACCCCGCGAGGGUGAGCUAAUCGGAAAAAGCCGGCCUCAGUUCGGAUUGGAGUCUGCAACUCGACUCCAUGAAGCUGGAAUCGCUAGUAAUCGUGGAUCAGCAUGCCACGGUGAAUACGUUC
rnacentral:rRNA from 1 species